rnacentral:rRNA from 1 species
CUAGAGUUAAUACGUGCACCAAGUCCCGACUCUUUGGAAGGGAUGCAUUUUUUAGAUAAAAGGCCGGCGCGGGCUUGCCUGCUUCUCCGGUGAAUCAUGAUAACUCGACGGAUCGCACAGCCCUUGUACUGGCGAUGCUUCAUUCAAAUUUCUGCCCUAUCAACUUUCGAUGGUAGGAUAGAGGCCUAUCAUGGUGGUGACGGGAGACGGAGAAUUAGGGUUCGAUUCCAGAGAGGGAGCCUGAGAAACGGCUACCACAUCUAAGGGAGGCAGCAGGCGCCCAAAUUACCCAAUCCUGACAUGGGGAGGUAGUGACAAUAAAUAACAAUACUGGGCUCAUCGAGUCUGGUAAUUGGAAUGAGUACAAUCUAAAUCCCUUAACGANNNNNNNNNNCAAUAAAUAACAAUACUGGGCUCAUCGAGUCUGGUAAUUGGAAUGAGUACAAUCUAAAUCCCUUAACGAGGAUCCAUUAGAGGGCAAGUCUGGUGCCAGCAGCUGCGGUAAUUCUAGCUCCAAUAGUGUAUAUUUAAGUUGCUGCAGUUAAAAAGCUCAUAGUUGGAUCUUGGGUCGUAAAGGUCAGUCCGCCUACUCGGUGUGCACCUGCCCUUCCGUCCCUUUUGUCGGCGGCAUGCUCCUGACCUUAAUUGGCUAGGUCAUGGCUCCGACGCUGUUACUUUGAAAAAAUUAGAGUGCUCAAAGCAAGCUUAUGCUCUGAAUACAUUAGCAUGGAAUAACGUGAUAGGAUUCUGGUCCUAUUGUGUUGGCCUUUGGGACCAGAGUAAUGAUUAAUAGGGACUGUCGGGGGCAUUCGUAUUUCAUUGUCAAAGGUGAAAUUCUUGGAUUUAUGAAAGAUGGACCACUGCGAAAGCAUUUGCCAAGGAUUUUUUCAUUAAUCAAGAAUGAAAGUUGGGGGCUCGAAUACGAUAAGAUACCAUCCUAGUCUCAACCAUAAAUGAUGCCAAUCAGAGUGUUUGGGUUCCCGGGGGAGUAUCGUCGCAAGGCUGAAACAUAAAGGAAUUGACGGAAGGGCACCACCAAGAGUGGAUCCUGCGGCUUAAUUUGACUCAACACGGGGAAACUUACCAGGUCUAGACAUAGUAAGAAUUGACAGAUUGAGAGCUCUUUCUUGAUUCUAUGGGUGGUGGUGCAUGACCGUUCUUAGUUGGUGGAGCGAUUUGUCUGGUUAAUUUCGAUAACAAAUGAGACCUCAGCCUGCUAACUAGCUACACAGAGGUUCCCCUUCAUGGCCAGCUUCUUAGAGGGACUAUGGCCAUUUAGGCCAUGGAAGUUUGAGGCAAUAACAGGUUUGUGAUGCCCUUAGAUGUUCUGGGCCGCAAGCGCACUACAUUGAUGCAGCCAAGGAGCUUUUCUUCCUGGUUCAAGAGGAUCAAGAAAUCUUCUUAAAUUGCAUUUUGAUGGGGAUAGACCAUUGCAAUUAUUGGUCUUCAACGAGGAAUUCCUAGUAAGCGCAUGUCAUCAAAUCGUGUUGACUACGUCCCUAACUUUUGUACACACCGCCCGUCACUCCUACUGAUUGAAUGAUCCAGUGAAGUGUUCGGAUUGCGUCGACGAUGGUGGUCCGCCGCCAUCGAAGUCGUGAGAAGUUCAUUGAACCUUAUCAUUUAGAGGAAGGAGAAGUCAUAACAAGGUUACCGUAGGUGAACCUGCGGUAG